UUCGACCUGAAUUCAGGUGUGAUUACCCGCUGAACUUAAGCAUAU
rnacentral:rRNA from 1 species